rnacentral:rRNA from 1 species
CCUACGGGAGGCAGCAGUGAGGAAUAUUGGUCAAUGGGCGCGAGCCUGAACCAGCCCAGUAGCGUGAAGGAUGACUGCCCUACGGGUUGUAAACUUCUUUUAUAAAGGCAUAAAGUGAGGCACGUGUGCCUUUUUGUAUGUACUUUAUGGAUAAGGAUCGGCUAACUCCGUGCCAGCAGCCGCGGUAAUACGGAGGAUCCGAGCGUUAUCCGGAUUUAUUGGGUUUAAAGGGAGCGUAGAUGGGUUGUUAAGUUAGUUGUGAAAGUUUGCGGCGCAACCGUAAAAUUGCAAUUGAUACUGGCAGCCUUGAGUACAGUUGAGGUAGGCGGAAUUCGUGGUGUAGCGGUGAAAUGCUUAGAUAUCACGAAGAACUCCGAUUGCGAAGGCAGCUUACUAAACUGCCACUGACAUUGAUGCUCGAAAGUGUGGGUAUCAAACAGGAUUAGAUACCCUAGUAGUC